CAUGUAUUCUGUGGUAAACUUUUCGUUCUUCAGUUUGCCUGAAGAUAGAAGAAAACAGGACCAGUUCCAGAAAAACUGGCUGCUAAUUUAAGCUGACUAUUUUAUGUACGAGGGAGAAGCUUGCCAUCAGCUGAGGGACAUUUUAUUAAUAAUUCAAGGAAUGUGGGCUUUGCAAUCCUAACCAGCAUUUAAUUGCCCAUCUCUGUGUGACCUGCCCUCUUGAAGCAAAAGCACUCCCACUCAUCUUAACUGAAUUUUACAGAAGAACUAUUGAGAUUGUCCUGACAAGCUGCAGCUCCAUCUGAUAUGGGAGCAGCCGAGCAUCAGACCAGACCCUGUGAAAGUGGCCAAGAGGAUAAUAGUGGUCUCCCUACCAUCCAUUGGGGACAUUUAUCAGGAGCACUGUGUACACUGGGCCCUUAGUAAUGUCAAGGAUCCCACCCAUCCAUCCAUCCAGCAUCUUCUUUGACUUUCUACCAUCACAAAGAGACUCUGAUGCAUAAAGACAAGAAUGAUCAGUGUGGGAAACAGCUUCUUCCCUCAAGCCAUUAAGCUUCUUUUCGCCCUGUGGCAUUGCAUUUGAAGUGGUGCCAGAUUGCUUUGUACCUUACAAUAUUUAGUUUAUGCAUUUUACUUUGUUUAUUUAUGUGUAAUUGCUUUGUAGAUUUAAUUCUUACUUUCCUAGGUUAUUGGGUGUUAUAUGUGGGUUAUGUGCUUAACACCGUGGUCCGGAGAAAUGUCUCCUUUGAUGGUAAACAUGUAUACAG